rnacentral:rRNA from 1 species
UACGGGGGGUGCGAGCGUUGUCCGGAAUCACUGGGCGUAAAGGGCGCGUAGGCGGCCAUGCGUGUCUUCCGUGAAAUCCCUCGGCUUAACCGAGGACGUGCGGAAGAAACUGCAAGGCUCGAGUCCGGAAGAGGGGGGCGGAAUUCCCAGUGUAGCGGUGAAAUGCGUAGAUAUUGGGAGGAACACCAGUGGCGAAGGCGGUCCCCUGGGCCGGAACUGACGCUGAGGCGCGAAAGCGUGGGGAGCGAACAGG